CACAUUCUAUUUGUAGCUUAAGAUUUUAAAAAAAUGAUGAGACUAAAAUUUAUGAUUGCGUUCGCUAUAUCGUCAAAUGUAAUUUGCAUUGCUAGCAGAUAUCAAAACCAAAAAAAUCCAGUCGAUGUAUCAAGAGAGUCAUUUACAGCAGCGCGCAAAACAAUUCUCCAGCUGUGCUCCAAAGAUCCUUUAUGUAAAAGUCAAUAUUUUGAUUCACCUGCAGUACCCAAUGCUUUUCAUUCAACAAAAAGACGUUUAAAAUCUAAAUACCAAAAUAUUCUUACUUAUAGACUUUUAUUGGAUUUAUUUCCUGAAUAAAACACCUCACCAUGUUACCCUAAAUAAUUUUUUUUUUUGAAAAACUUUGUAGAAAUGUUUUUCAUUGAAAAACUAAGCAUUAAUUA